GGUCCCCAAAUAUCAAAAUGUAUUAUAUCAAAAACAUGUUCUAUCUUAAUCAUACUAGUAGGAAAAUAUAAUCAUGUUUGUUUUGCCUUACAACAAGCAUCACAAAAUAUAGUCUUAUUUCCAUCAAAACUAAUAGAUAAACUUGGAACUAGAUAAAUGCGAUUGGUAAAUGCCCCAAGCGCUGAUUCCAUAAAUUUGCACUAACAAACUUCUUCACCAUCAAUGCUUGCCUUCCUUCAUCAGCUCCAAGUAAUAUAGACUAUUUCGCUUCCUACCCACUCUAAUCGGCAUCUUUGAAGGUAAGUCCUGAAUCACAAAAAAGUAUGGACCAAAGGUCACUAUAAAUUAUAAGACAUCUAUCAAUUUGCUAACUGACAGCAAAUUAAAGUAAAAAUUAUGAACUCCGAAGACAUGUUCAAGAAUUAAUCUUUUAGAAGGCCACUUGCCAAGCAUGAACUUUAACCAAAUUACCAUUUUGGAUUUGCAUGGGUGGUAAAUCUAUAUGAACUAUCUUUAUUGACAAAGAAUUUAAAUCAUGAGUUAUAAGAUUUGUAGCACCACUAUCAACUAUCCACUCCUCCCUUGUCUUAGCUUUGCUCCCAGAUUGGUUACCUGUCGAUGCUCCAUGAUUUCCCAAUAAUACUAAUAGUUGUUGAUGUUGAGUAUGCGUCAAACCUUGAAUUGGCGACAUAGCCUCUUCAGUAGUUGCAGCAAGAGCCAUACCUUUGAGUGCAUUUGGUUCCUUUUGAUUUUGUUUUGAUGCAUCCCAUGAAACUGCAUCUGAUCAUUAUUGGUGUGCUUACUAAUUUUCUUGCUAGGCUUACGCCAAUCUGGAGGAUACCCAAUCACUUUGUAGCAAUAAUCCUUGCUAUGAUUUUCUGUCACAGUGGUAAGGUGGAAAAUUGAUGCCUAUCCCCAUCCUCAAUUUUCCUUUGUCGUGAUUCACCCACUUUAGUCAGCAAGGCAAUUGCUUCAACAGAGCGUAUGCGAUUUGUAACAACUGAUCUCUGCUUCUCUUCUUGUGCUGUGAUAGCAUAAGCUCUUCCUAAGUUUGGCAAUGGAUCGACACUUAAUAUUUGAGAAUGCACAGUCGAAUAUGUGUCAUCAAGUCUAGAAAAUCAAAAACCUUUUCCUCCCGUCAUGGAUUGUAUCUUCUUUGCUGCACCACAAACACAAUCACUUGUGCAAGGAGGAGUUGGUAUGAUACCUUGCAGCUUACCCCAAACAGACUUAAGCUCACCCUAAUAGGAUGAGAUAGACGCUCUCUCUUGUUGCAAGAGAUCAAUGGCACACUUCAAUUCAUAAACUCUUGGUGCAAUUCCUUGGGUAAAUCGUUCUUCCAGAUCUACCCAAAUUUCUCUAGCAUUUUUAACAUGUGCGUCACUACCUUGCAGUUCUUUAGCAAUCGCAUUCAUAAGCCACGAAAGUACAAUGGUAUUGCACUGUAUGUUGUAAAUCUUGAGAGUCUUCUUUCGGUCUUUUAACGUCUCCAUUAACAAAUCCAACAUUAUUUUUAGAGAGUAGUGCAUUAAAUUUGUUUCCAAGUGAAAUAGUUUUCUCCAUUUUCACUUAGAGGACUGAUAACAAAAAUCAAACCUGGGUGUGCUGAUGGAUGCAAGGAAUAAGGAGAAGCCUUUGCGACUUUGGGUUGAGGAAGAUUCGCUAGUUCUCCAGUGCGUCCUUCAGUUCCCAUGGUUGAAUGGAAACAAACCUCAAGAUCUUUUAUCACUCUCUGAUACCAUGUAAAAGAAGAUUAUCCGAGUAAAUUGAUU
rnacentral:lncRNA from 1 species